AUGCGUAAGCGCCGUACUCUGGUAGCUCCGGACAUGAACGUGUCAUUGGACCAGAGCGAGGGUUCCGUCCUGUCAGAUGACUUCUUAGGUAACCCUGACGACCUGGAUGUCAACGUGGACGACAUGGACACGCCCGACGACAACGACUCCUUGGAGUUUAUCACCAACGGCAACGACCUGGAGUGGGAAGACGACACUCCUAUAGUGAGUUCCAAGGGUCUGCCUGGGGGCCAGACAGAGGAGGAGGAGGAGGCAGGCAGACUGUGGAGGACAGUGACCAUAGGAGACCAGGAACAGAGGAUAGACAUGGCUGUUAUCAGACCAUACCUGAGGGUGGUCACACAUGGAGGUUACUACGGUGAGGGUCUGAAUGCCAUCAUAGUGUUUGCGGCGUGUUACCUGCCAGAGAGCAGCUGUGAGGACUACACUUACAUCAUGGAGAACCUCUUCCUCUAUGUGAUCAGUAGCCUGGAGUUGUUAGUGGCUGAGGACUACAUGAUUAUCUAUCUGAACGGAGCUACGCCUCGCAGGAGGAUGCCUGGUAUCAGCUGGCUAAAGAGGUGCUACCACACCAUCAACAGGAGAUUGAAGAAGAAUCUGAAGUGGCUGGUCAUUGCUCACCCAUCCUGGUUCAUCCGUACAAUCCUGGCCAUCUCCAGACCCUUCAUCAGUGUGAAGUUCCUGGAUAAGAUCCGCUAUGUUCACACAUUGGAUGAGUUGAGCCAGCUGAUUCCUAUGGACCACAUACAGAUCCCAGAAUGUGUCCUGCAAUAUGAUGACCAGAAGAUGAUAGCACAAAAAGAAAGGUAACAGAGACAUGUUUUAUGUGGCAGGAGAUGGAGCAUACCAAGUCUGCACCCCCCACGGAAAGGUAAAACAAGAAUCCACAACCCUGCUGAGGAUUCAUGAGGAUACUGUCUAUCAAUAUAGGGGAAAAGACUUCUUGGCUGAAGAUAAAGGACUGAUGGAGAAAUGAUGAGGACUGGUGUGUGGGUGAAGAGGGCUCCUGACAUUACAUCAACAUCAUCCUACCUUGUCUUACUUUCCACACAGCAGAUAGCCUGGUCUGUCUGUCCCAUGGAAUAAAUCUACCCUGGCAGAUAGCCUGACCUCUUUCCGUUUGGAAUAAACCUACCCUGGCAGAUAGCCUGACCUCUUUCCGAUUGGAAUAAAUCUACCCUGGCAGAUACCCUGACCUCUGUCCCAUGGAAUAAACCUACCCUGGCAGAUACCCUGACCUCUGUCCCAUGGAAUAAACCUACCCUGGCACAUACCCUGACCUCUGUCCCAUGGAAUAAACCUACCCCGGCAGAUAGCCUCGCUUCCACUCACCAUUUCUUCUUGCAUGGAUCAAUCAGCUGUGAUCUAGCCUGCUGCAUGAUGAACAUGCAUUGGGCUGAUGCAAGAUGGCUGGAUGAACUCUGUUAAAUGUGUUUAUUUCCUUCGAAGGGACAAGAACAGGCUUUAGUUGGUACAAGCCAGAUGUACAUAGUUGUAAUAACAUUGUAAUAAUGUAAUAACAUUGUAAUAAUGUAAUGUAAUAACAUUGUAAUAAUGUAAUGUAUUAACGUUGCUGUAAUACAAGUAUGAAGGUAUAUGUGUGCAACAAGCAAUAUGUUUGAUAUAAAUGUUAUCUUUUUUUCUUCAAUGUAUAAAUGCUAUUGUUUUUAAAUAAUGUGCAAUAUAAGCAGUUCCUCUUCUGAACUGACCAAAUUAAUUCAGAGGUUGUUACUACUGUAACGAAUGAAAUAUGUUUUAGUUUUCUCUAUUGCUCCUCUGUGUGUUGUUGUGUUUUCUGAAGGUUACUAGACAGAUGGCAUGCUGGUUAAAAUGUUCUUCCUCGUCAUCUGGGAUAUUUAAAAAAAACUAGCCUCAGUAAAAAACUAGCCUGGGUACCAAUCUGUUUCUGUUAUCAUUUCACGCCUCGCCACUUCUUGUCAUGCCAUGUUUGGAGUGGCAAGGAAUGGAAUGAUAGUACAGACUGGUACACAGGACAGAUCAAAACAUUACUGAUGAUCUUAGUUUCCUGGUUUAUUGAUGAUCUGUCUCAAUUCCUCUAUUUCCAUGUAGAGAUCUUACUUUACAUUUAUCUAUUGUUACACCUAUGAUGCAAUGCAUUUAAAUAACAUAAUUAACUGUUUAAAUUAUGUGAACUUAUAUAUAUUAGUGUGUGCUGUUCAUUGUUUGUAAUACAAUUUUGUUGGAAAAAUCCAAUUAAGAUACUCCAGUUCUUACUAUCAAACAGCCUCUCCAUAUUAUUUGACCUAUUAAAGUGUGA